rnacentral:lncRNA from 1 species
ACUGUGUAUUGGUAAUAUUUUAUUGCAUCAGAUCAAUUACUUUAUAACAAAAACAGGAAAUUUUGACAAACAUAUGACACACUAAGUACAAUUGAUCUGAAGACAAUCAAAGGGUACCACAGUUUAUUCAGAUCAUUUGUACAUAAGUCUUUACAUAGACAAUGGCUGUUUUCAGUGUUGGGUUUCAGUCUGUAAAUGAAGAUUGAGUCUUGUCUUUAUAAAACAGGAAAGAAAAGAAACAGUUUCAAGCCUCCCCCAUAAUAUUCUGAAAAUGACAACUCAAAUAACCUUGUAAAAUUCCUUGUUGUCAAAUUUUAAAUAUCUUAAAUAAACAUUACAACUUCUGAAAGAAAACAAUACUGCUUGCAUGUUAUUGUAUUUUUCGUUACAAUUCAUUUUAUCAGAG